rnacentral:tRNA from 1 species
GGGCGAUUAGCUCAGCUGGCUAGAGCGCGUCGGUGACAUCGACGAGGUCACAGGUUCAAGUCCUGUAUCGCCCACCA